AAGUCGUAACAAGGUCUCCGUUGGUGAACCAGCGGAGGGAUCAUUACAGAGUUACCCAACUCACCAAACCCAUGUGAACUUACCUAUGUUGCCUCGGCGGGGAAGCCUACCCGGUACCUACCCUGUAGUUACCCGGGAGCGAGCUACGCUGUAGCCCGCUGCAGGCCAACCCGCCGGUGGACUGUUAAACUCUUGUUAUAGUGGAACUUCUGAUUUUUUAUACUUAAUAAGUUAAAACUUUCAACAACGGAUCUCUUGGUUCUG
rnacentral:misc_RNA from 1 species